UCGGUUUUAGAGCUAAACACACUUUUCAGCAACUACCGUGUAACCGCACACUUUCGCGUUUGUAAACGUGUUUACUUAAACAUGUUCACCUGAAGUAGUUCAGGGUCCCGUGUAACCGCGCCCUGUGUCUCUGGUGUUGCAGUACGUCGUAAUUUGCAUAGAAAAGAGUGGUAAUUUGAAAGAGAUCCAGACAGCAGACACCAGUGUAGUAUGGCCCCUUACUCUAUGGUAUGGCCACAGAAUAAAUAAUUGGUAAUUGUUUAUUCUGUGCAUGAUUCUGUGGUAUGGCCAUGCGAAAGGCAGAAGGAAAGGAUACAAAUGUACUGAAAUAAAUUAAUGUAGAGUUAAGGUAGUGUCUUAACAAAGUAACAAAGGCGUGUCAGUUCCUAAACGUACAACUGGAGAUGUGCAGGCCGUGGUUUCCGCCUGUGGCCAAUCCGCGUGUUCUGCGGGCUCGUGGAAGAGGGGAGAGACGCGGGCGCUCGGGCGCGCCAGGCGGAGUGGGAGGUCACGUCGUCAUCCCGGCAUGAGAGGCAGCAGACGUGCGAGAGACGUCGCUCCGGGUUGGUAAGAGAGGACUCGACUGGCCGCGGUGUCUUCUGUAACCUUGAGCUGUGCCGUGUGGGAGCUAACCACAGUUUUUCGAUCGCAUAGUUUUCCAGUAGCGUCUUAGUCAUAGCCAUUUUCUCACGCGAGUUUCAACACGAGUUUUCCGAGUAGUGCAUUUUUUUUGUAAACUGAAUUAAAUGUGAUAUUACUAGUCGUUGGUUGAAAAUUUUAAUCAUUUCUCCCCUUGCCUUUAUCAAAAAAAAUACUUCUCUAGUGAUGCAAAAAUUAAUACCUUUUACGUAGCCGACAAAUAAUAGUGGCUAUAUAAAUGAAAUUACGCCUGAAUUUCUAUUACAUUUUGAGGAAAUAAUUAUAUUAAAUUAAAAUUCGUUACAAAGAGUUUUCUUUUGAGUGUGUACACAUACUGGUUGUAUGAGACAGUGCUUGGAGGUUCGUGGGAGCGCUGCAGCCCGGCCGAUGGAUGAUUGCUCGAUGGGGAAUCGAGGGGCGAUGAGGAAGCCAGCACGAUUGGCAACACUGUCGCUCGAGCAGGUCUGCGCCCAGCAGAGGGUCGGCUAAGGAAAGAUGGUGAGCUUUUAAACACGCGCUUGUCCCAAGAGACUGGAGUUAUAUACCCUCCCCGUCUGAAAGUCCUCUCAUGACUGACCCCUUCCUACAGCCAAUCCAGUCUGUAUACAGACCAGCUGAGUGGUGGGGAUGUAGAGUUUGACACCCUCUACAAUAAUGUAUCAUCAAAAUUAAAAUUUUGGGAAGUGACGAUUUUUGAUGGUUGAACGGCUCCCUUACACAUUAAAGAAAUUUUAUCAACCUUUAAUAGUAGGUUUUUCAUGCCCUAAGUUGCUGGACAAUAUCCAAAAAUUUUAAUCUGUAAAAUUAAAUACCAUAUUUGAUGGUUUGAUUAUGAUUCAAAGUAAUAACACUACAUCACGAGAACACUUGAAUGCUUUUUACUGUUUAGCAGCACCUUCUACGUAACAUAUUAUGAAGUGAAAAUGCUUAACAGCAGGCGGGGCUAGUCAUGCGAUCAUUCAUGAGAGUAAGCAAUAUCGAGCACCAUACUCACUCUUGGGUGAACGUUAGCGAAGCGACUUUACGGGGCUGCAUUUUUCAUAACGCUGCGGACCGCCGCUCCUUUCGGAGACAGCCCUUCGGAAACGCUCUGUAUCCCAGCUGCACAUUCCCUAGUCUUGGGUGUUUAGUAUGCUUGUGUUUACCUAUUGUUAGAGACAAGAUUUUAUGUUUUUUUUUUUUUAUUUUUUGCCCAAUUUUAUUUUUAAAACAUUGGUAAAAUUUACAUGCUGAAUUUCUACAAUAAAAUUAUUUGUAAUAAAUUGGUUUGUAAUUAAAUACAUUCAGAAUAAUAAAAAUACAUUAGCAAGCAUUUGAGGUAUAAAAGCAAUCCAAUAAGAUAUGCACAAUAAAACAAAUUAAAUUCAUUUUUCUAAUCCAUGCACUUUAGUACACUUUUUUUGUCCAGAAAAAACAUUCCUUGUAUUUCAAACACUAUAAGAUUACUUUUUUUAUGAUUUGAAUUAAGUUUUGGUUAAAUGCUACUUGAUUCCAUGAUAUAACUUGCUUUUUUGUGCUAUAUGGUGUGAUAACUUUCAUUUCAGUGUUAUGCUGUUUUGACAUGUUUUUUGGUGUUAAAUCAGUUUCAUUGCAAUCCACCAUAUAAUCUUGUCCCUACCUAUUGUGUAUUUUUGUUUACUCUUAAUAUUCAAGCAAAUUAUAGGAUAUUUUAUUUUAUCAUUCAAGUAAUGUUGGUAUUGUUCGCUUCACGAGGCAGAAUCCAUAACCUCAAAACCCAGCUUGUAACAAUUAAAACCUUUUCAAUAAAUUGGAAAUUACUUGUAAAUUGUUUCUCAACAAAUUACCAAGACUAGGUGUUAAGCAAAUAUAAAAAAUUAGCAGAAUAAAAUUGCAAUGGUUAUGUCAGAUUGGGAUGCAAAAUAAAUAAAAAAAUUCAAAUGCCAAUUGAAUUUUUACUUAUUUCUACACAAUCACUGAAUCUCUACAAAACCAAAUAAAUAGCAGUGAGCUGCAAAUGUAUAGAAAUUACGACCCCCAAUUGUUAACAGUUAUUCUAUAUAAAAUGCAUAUUAAAAGAAUACAGCAAAAUUAAAAAUACCUAUAUUAUACAUCAUGAUUAAAUAUAAUUCUCAUAAAGAUUCUACUUACACCUUCAGUUAAACAAUACAUAAAUAAAAAUUUGAAAUUUUUAACAAGAUUCCAAAUCAAAUUACAGUUAACUCCUGAUUAUCCAUGUUAAUUGGGACCUACCAAUGCAGGGAUAAUUAAAAUCCUGUAUAAUAAAAAAAACCUGAUCUGUUUUAUGGCAAGGAUUGCCCUCAAAUUUGGGUUACACUAUACAUUGUUUGGUAGAUUAAUUCUGAACACAAGUGAAGUCUUUGUGAACUGUGUCUCAGCUUAUUGGAACGUAAAACGUAAACAAUACGACACUGUGUCGCCAUACAGUCUUUCUCCGUCUGCUGGAUAGGCAGCAGUCACUCCUUACCACACCCCUUUUUAUGUAUUUAUUUUUUCUACCCUUGGGUGGAAAGUUGUUCUUUCCAGCUCCUUGCCCUUUCAUGAAACUAGCACACACAAGAACUUGUGCCGGGCCAGAGGAGUAUAUAAGUAUCACUUAAAUGUACCAAUUCUCCGAGGCGUGCUUUUCACGGACCUAACACAGGAAAGUUCCCACAAAUCAAAGAGGGAUGCAGCAUCUUGCGGAGCUGCGGCAAAAUAAAUAGCACGAGAAAAAAAUAUUGUUGGCGUCAUGAAAACCUGCCGUGGUAGACACGUGAAGAUCCCCUUCAUGUAUGUUGAAAUUAGUUUUUGGUCAUUUACAAUGGCCGAUGAGGAAAAGUUAACUCAACACCACUCAGGAUAAGAUCGUGCUGACGUGCAUGCAUAUAUUCUAGCCGAGAGAAACAACUUUGCAAAAGGUCUUAUUUAAAGAUUUUUAGUUUAAAAAUUACAAUCUUUUUGCUGGCAAAAUGCUGGUUUGCCCACUCUCAGAAUUUUCACCUAUUUCUUUCGUUACGCACCAAAGCCACAUUACUUUCAGUUCGAUGAAACCAAUUUCAUUUAAAACUACAUACUUGAAACAAGGUCCUGACGAAGCGUAUACCAACAGGAAUGUCCGCUGUAUCGAAGUUCCAUGUCCACAGAGCACAGCCUGGCAUUAAAGUUGCACAAAAUUGAAACAGUCUGAAAAUACUUGGGCCCUCCGAAGUCCAUCAUAAACCUGCAAUGGUUGCAUUUUCUUCAUUUAUACGUUUUAAGUGAAAACCAAGCAAUCACCGAGCAAGCAUGCUCAAUAUGUCGGAGACAGCAGUGUCCCGCUUACAUUACGUCACGCCCGUCGCGGAAGACGAAUGUAGAAAAGGCACCGCCUGGUCAAGAGAGAUAGCCACUGAUCAACUCUUCACCCAUGCACAAGCAUGCUGCUAUUCUUUUGUUUUAUUUCGAUAUUUCGAAGCACCAAGUGUCGUUCUUGCGUUCCGACAGAUAUAUACAGGGUGUCUACCAGAUCUAGUAAAUUAAAUUCCCUGAUUUUUCCAGGUUUUCCAGGUCUAAAACUGAACUUUUCCAGGUUUUAUUUGACACAAUUACGACAUUCCAAGAAACUGAAAAAAAUUGCAUAAUAUUACAUUGACGGGUUUCAAAGUAUUUCAACUUACUUAAAUUAGUAAAAAUAAUUACCUUCUUCCAAACGUGGCCAAAGUGACUCAAUUGAUGGCAAAUAAAAGAUGCUGCUACAAAUAUUUCACACACUUCCUUUUGCAAAAAAAAAAUUAGUAAAAGGAAGCUCCCAUCAAUUUCGCAGUGACUCAACUUUUGCGUCUAUUGCACUUACUUCAGAACGAGCCAAAUCCAACAUUCGAGCCUUCUUCAACUGCAAUGCCUUGAUCUCCUCUUCAACUCUUCUUUUUUCUGCCUUCUUCUUGUCUGUAGCUUCCUUUUCUUUUUGUUUUGUUUGCAGGGCUUCCUUACGCCUACAACUAGCAUUUAUUACAUACUGCUCUACACCUCCAGAACGUUGAACAAAGUCAUACAUCUGUCUUUGUGCGAUCAGUAUUUCUUCCUGCAAGUUUUCAGUCAGCUGAUUAGAAUUCACUGAAAAUCCUCUUUCCAAUGAUGCAUUUCCAUGGGAAAGUACCAACACCAUCCUCACAAACUUUAGAAGGCCUGUUUUGGAAGCUACUGUAUAUGCCUUAAGAAUGAGCAUCCACAAGUGAUCAAGGCGCCCGUCUUCUCGAGAAAAAGACGAGAACAGUGCUGCAGAAUCUUGCAAGGAACAUACCAACUGAUAUGAUCACUCAAUGUUAUCAGCUUCUUGUCCUGAUAGCCACCUGUUUUGAAGACAACAUUCUAAACUGUACUUCACACGCUGUUUCCUCACACCCAAAUUUAAAGCCACAGAUGGACAUAAGGAAAUUCCCUUGGUAAGAUUGUACUUCAGGGGACUUUUGUCUUGAAGUUUUUUUACCAUAACCUUUAGACAAGUCCUAUCAUUUUUCUGUAACAGGACAGACUUUUCUGGUACUUUCUCUUUCUUGAUGGUAUGGCGUACUGCAUAACCCAACUUGAUAUUGUUAGCAGUCAAUAGAUUUUCCUGGUUAUCUACAUCCAAUGGAGUUACAUUGCGUUUCUCCCUAAAGCUCUUCAGUACUUCUGGUUUCAAAAUUUUCCUGCCAAAGCUAAUAAAACCAGUGAAUCAUAGAGAAAAGGUGCCAUGGGUGCUUCACUUUGGAACAUUGUGAGAAACAAUUCCAGCUCUGAUGCCAAAAAAAGGAAGAAUGUCAAUUUUACUUUUAGAAGAUUAUCUUCAAGAGCACAUUUCACUACACUGAAAGAGAGAGAUGAAAUAGAAACUUCACUAACCAAUUUCUUUAGGUGGGGUAACGUUUUCAUGGCACGCUCAGAAACUGCAGUAUUCCAUAUGAUUGCACAAAAUUUCUUGGGAAAAAGCUCUGAUCCAGUUAUUCUAAUGUAAUCUGCCCUCCUUGCAGAUAUGUGCUUAAACAAAUAGUAACUGUGCCUCAAAAAACUAAAAACGUCCCAUUGUGUAACAGAAAUUCCAGUUUUGAAAGCACCAUGGACCGUAUGAAGCCCACAGCUACCAAUUUCUAGCAAAGAUGGUGAAUCUUCACCAAAAGUGUCUGUGAUAUGUAUUUUCAACGCUAACAAAAAUGUCCAGUUUACGUUGAGGGCAUCCAUAGAUACUUAAAAUUAAAUGCACCUGUCGGUAUAAUCUGAACGUGGGAAGCACAUGCUGCAGCACGUCACGUCAGCAGGAUAACAGACCAUCUUGAACCAGUUUGUAUCACGUGAUUUGAUGCCACUUCCAAAUCCGAUGGUAAAUAAAAGAAUUUGGACGUGGGAACUGUUCGUUAUUUGCCAUUCAAAAAUAAAAAUGGGAGGGGAUACACAUGAUGCCACGCCAAUGCAAGCUGAUCAAUAAACAAAAAACGUAUUGCCAACUACAACCUACCAAACAAAAAUUCCCUGAUUUUU